AGAGUUUGAUCCUGGCUCAAAAUCAACGCUGGCGGCGCGCUUAACACAUGCAAGUCAAACGAGAAAGCCCGCAGGGGUGAGUAAAGUGGCGUACGGGUGAGUAACACGUGGGUAAUCUACCUUUUGGUGGGGAAUAACGCUGGGAAACCGGCGCUAAUACCGCAUAAGCUCGGAAGAGGAAAAAAGAAAUCUGCCGAAAGAGGAGCCCGCGGCUGAUUAGCUAGUUGGUGAGGUAAAGGCUCACCAAGGCAAUGAUCGGUAGCCGGCCUGAGAGGGCACACGGCCACACUGGCACUGAAACACGGGCCACACUCCUACGGGAGGCAGCAGUGGGGAAUCUUGCACAAUGGGGGAAACCCUGAUGCACCGACGCCGCGUGAGUGAUGAACCCCUUCGGGGUGUAAAGCUCUUUCGGCAGGGACGAUAAUGACGGUACCUGAAAAAGAAGCUGCGGCUAACUACGUGCCAGCAGCCGCGGUAAUACGUAGGCAGCGAGCGUUGUUCGGAGUUACUGGGCGUAAAGAGUGCGUAGGCGGUUUUCUAAGUUUGGUGUGAAAUCUCCCGGCUUAACUGGGAGGGU
rnacentral:rRNA from 1 species